UAGGCAGUUGGCGGGGUAACGGCCCACCAAACCUACGAUGGAUAGGGGUUCUGAGAGGAAGGUCCCCCACAUUGGAACUGAGACACGGUCCAAACUCCUACGGGAGGCAGCAGUGAGGAAUAUUGGUCAAUGGACGAGAGUCUGAACCAGCCAAGUAGCGUGAAGGAUGACUGCCCUAUGGGUUGUAAACUUCUUUUAUACGGGAAUAAAGUGAGCCACGUGUGGCUUUUUGUAUGUACCGUAUGAAUAAGGAUCGGCUAACUCCGUGCCAGCAGCCGCGGUAAUACGGAGGAUCCGAGCGUUAUCCGGAUUUAUUGGGUUUAA
rnacentral:rRNA from 1 species